AUUGAACGCUGGCGGCAGGCCUAACACAUGCAAGUAGAGCGGAGCGGCGGACGGGUGAGUAAUGCCUAGGAAUCUGCAUGGUAGUGGGGGAUAACGUCCGGAAAAGGGCGCUAAUACUGCAUGCUAUAAAAUGAGCCUCGGUCGGAGUAGCUAGGUGGUGGGGAAAAGGACUACCAAGGCGAAGAUCCGUAACUGGUAUGAGAGGAUGAUCAGUCACACUGUGACUGAGACACGGUCCAGACUCCUACGGGAGGCAGCAGUGGGGAAUAUUGGACAAUGGGCGAAAGCCUGAUCCAGCCAUGCCGCGUGUGUGAAGAAGGUCUUCGGAUUGUAAAGCACUUUAAGUUGGGAGGCGUUACCAACAGAAUAAGCACCGGCUAACGUCGUGCCAGCAGCCGCGGUAAUAC
rnacentral:rRNA from 1 species